GGCGAGUGAACCGGGAAGAGCUCAAAUUUGAAAUCUGGCGUCCUCAGGGCGUCCGAGUUGUAAUCUAUAGAGGCGUUUUCCGUGCCGGACCGUGUCCAAGUUCCUUGGAACAGGAUAUCAAAGAGGGUGACAAUCCCGUACUUGACACGACGACCGGUGCUCUGUGAUACGUCUUCUACGAGUCGAGUUGUUUGGGAAUGCAGCUCAAAAUGGGUGGUGAGUUCCAUCUAAAGCUAAAUAUUGGCGAGAGACCGAUAGCGAACAAGUACCGUGAGGGAAAGAUGAAAAGCACUUUGGAAAGAGAGUUAAACAGUACGUGAAAUUGUUGAAAGGGAAACGAUUGAAGUCAGUCGUGACCGAGAGGCUCAGCCGGUUCUGCCGGUGUAUUCCCCUCGGUCGGGUCAACAUCAGUUUUGUCCGGUGGAUAAGGGCGGUAGGAAGGUGGCACCCUCGGGUGUGUUAUAGCCUGCCGUCGCAUACAUCGGGUGAGACUGAGGAACGCAGCUCGCCUUUAUGGCCGGGGUUCGCCCACGUCCGAGCUUAGGAUGUUGACAUAAUGGCUUUAAACGACCCGUCUUGAAA
rnacentral:rRNA from 1 species